GAGUGAUCAAGCGCGAUAAGGGCAUUUGGUGGAUGCCUUGGCGAUGCACAGGCGAUGAAGGACGUAGUACGCUGCGAUAAGCUACGGGGAGCUGCAAAUGAGCUUUGAUCCGUGGAUUUCCGAAUGGGGCAACCCACCUUAGGUGUCUAGGAAAGUAUACUAUUAAGGUUUAAUUUUCUAGGUACUUGAAGGUAUCUUUACCUGAAUAAAAUAGGGUAAAAGAAGCGAACGCAGGGAACUGAAACAUCUAAGUACCUGUAGGAAAGGACAUCAAUUGAGACUCCGUUAGUAGUGGCGAGCGAACGCGGAUCAGGCCAGUGGUAGGGAAGAUUUAAGUAGAAUUAUCUGGGAAGGUAAGCCAUAGAAGGUGAUAGCCCCGUACACGUAAUAAUUUUUUCUAUCCUUGAGUAGGGCGGGACACGUGAAAUCCUGUUUGAAGAUGGGGCGACCACGCUCCAAGCCUAAGUACUCGUGCAUGACCGAUAGUGAACUAGUACCGUGAGGGAAAGGCGAAAAGAACCCCUACUAGGGGAGUGAAAUAGACCCUGAAACCGAAUGCCUACAAACAGUCGGAGGCUGUAAAGCUGACGGCGUACCUUUUGUAUAAUGGGUCAACGACUUAGUGUGGCAGUGGCGAGCUUAGCCGAUAGGUGUAGGCGUAGCGAAAGCGAGUCUGAAUAGGGCGUUUAGUUUGUUGCAUUAGACCCGAAACCGAGUGAUCUAGCCAUGAGCAGGUUGAAGGUUGGGUAACACCAAUUGGAGGACCGAACCCGUAUCUGUUGCAAUAGAUUGGGAUGACUUGUGGCUAGGGGUGAAAGGCCAAUCAAACUCGGAGAUAGCUGGUUCUCCGCGAAAUCUAUUUAGGUAGAGCGUUAACUGAAUACCCUCGGGGGUAGAGCACUGGAUAGGCUAUGGGGGCUUACCGCCUUACUGAUCCGAUGCAAAC
rnacentral:rRNA from 1 species